UUCUUGUUGCUGAUCUGUUCUUAGGUCUAUAAUUGAUCCUUUAUCAUUAUUGAUCUUUAUCGUGGCUAGUGUAUCAGUUUUCCCCGUGAGGACUGUGGUUGUUUUGUAGGCCCUCCUCUUACACUCUACGGGUUGACGAUUUCUUCCCUGUGGGUUGCAGUUUUGGCUUGAUCUUCUAUUAAUGCCCCUUUACUGU